rnacentral:rRNA from 1 species
GCUGGCGGCAUGCUUAACACAUGCAAGUCGAACGGUAACAGGCGAAGCUUGCUUCGCGCUGACGAGUGGCGGACGGGUGCGUAACGCGUGGGAAUCUACCUUGUAGUGGGGGAUAGCCCGGAGAAAUCCGGAUUAAUACCGCAUAAUCUCUACGGAGCAAAGUGGGGGAUCUUCGGACCUCACGCUAUUAGAUGAGCCCGCGUUGGAUUAGCUUGUUGGUGGGGUAAUGGCCUACCAAGGCGACGAUCCAUA